CUGCACCGGCGACAGCCAGAUCUUCCACAUAUCAUGGACAGGAUGAAGCGUACUCAAGGGCUGAAUGGCCAAGCAAACAGAUGCAUUAUGAAAUGAGGCUGAGGUUGGAGAUAUGGAGAUAAACAUCCACAAUGCCCUGACAACAUUGGCACCAAAUAUCAUCAGGGCGGCUCUGCUGGGGAGCCACAAGGGACAAUUCACCACCUUGAUGACUGAGGCCAAAGCAGACGAUCAUCUGAAGAGUGCUGCGGAAGAGUGGUG